ACAUGCUGCCUUUGGAUCCCGGGCGUCGCACCUGUGUGUCGCGCCAGGGGUCAAGCUGCAGCACCAGAGAACACACUCACACGUACCUGGGGCCGCCUGCCCUCCGCAGACGGCCCUUUUAACCGCGAGCAGAGAG
ensembl:snoRNA